rnacentral:rRNA from 1 species
UACGUAGGGGGCUAGCGUUGUCCGGAAUCAUUGGGCGUAAAGCGCGUGUAGGCGGUCCGGUAAGUCCGCUGUGAAAGUCGGGGGCUCAACCCUCGGAUGCCGGUGGAUACUGUCGGGCUUGAGUACGGAAGAGGCGAGUGGAAUUCCUGGUGUAGCGGUGAAAUGCGCAGAUAUCAGGAGGAACACCAAUUGCGAAGGCAGCUCGCUGGGACGUUACUGACGCUGAGGGACGAAAGCUAGGGGAGCGAAUGGG